UGGAUAUGCAUGCAUACAAUUCAGCUCUGAAUUCCAUAAUCCCAUUUUUUGCUUCACAAAAGAGGUCCAAAGAGAGCACGUCCAAGACGAUUCAACUGAUAGCCCUGAACCUCCACCCAGAAAUAGCACACUUAUAAAACACCUCAGUGCAGGAGUGCUGCAAAGUUCACAUGAGAUAAGUAAUGGAUGUAAAUCACUUUGCAAACCUUAAAGAACUAUACAAAUGUCAGUUAUCAUCAUCAU